AUUAACUACUAAUUAUACUGUUAGAUGGAUAGCUUGGUUUUGGUUUUGAUGAAGGACGUGGCAAGCUGCGAUAUGCUUAGGGGAGUUGCAUGCAAACUUUGAUCCUAAGAUCUCCGAAUUGCGCAGAGAUGCGGAAUCACGCUGGGAAUUGAAACAUCUUAGUACCGGCAGGAAAAGAAAACAAUAGUGAUACCCUUAUUAGCAGAGAGCGAAAAGGGCAGAGGGCAAACUGAAUCUGCUUUUGAAAAGAAGUAAGAGAUGUGGUGAGGAUAUAAUGGCUAAGUCAACGAAUUAAACUUUGCUGGAAAGCAAGACCUUAGAAGGUGAUAGUCCUGUAGAUAAAGUUGAUAUGUUGUUCCUUAAAAGAGUAGGGCUUCUUAAAUUAGAGGUCUGAAUAUGGCUAGAUUAAUAGCUAACCCUAAAUACAACCAAAGUCCGAUAGUGCACUAGUACCGCGAGGGAAAGCUGAAAAGUACUCUUACUAGAGUGUGAAAAGAUUUGAAAUCUAACAGUUACAGAUUGUUACUGCCCUGAGGGGUUGUAACGUACGUUUUGAAAAACGGGCCAGGGAGUUUAUUUAUGUGGCAAGGCUAAUCAAUUUUAUUGAGUAACCAAAGCGAAAGCAAGUAUGAAAGUGCGUUAGUCACAUGGAUAAGACCUGAAGCCAGAUGAUCUAUUCAUGAGCAAGGUGAAGUCUUUCGAAAGGAGGAUGGAGGCCUGAACCGGUGUUACGGACAUAUACUCGAAUGACUUGUGAAUAGGGGUGAAAAGCCUAUCUAAUCUGGCAAUGGCUGGUUCCUACUGAAAUAUGCCUCCGUAUAGUCUUGUUUUAUAAUUCAUGAGCGGUGUAAAGUACGGAUAAAUUUUGCAGGGGCAAAUGCUUACGGAAAUUUUUCCAACUCAGAAACUGUUCAUUGUUUGAAACAGGAAGCAGGGGCAGUACGUAAGGUACUGUUCCGAGACCCGAACAAGGGAGACCAGAGUUAAGGUCCCAAAAUUUAUGCUAAGUGUAUCGAAAGGUGUCUUGAACCUGAGACACUGGGGAUGUAAGCUUAGAAGCAGCUAUCAUUUAAAGAAAGCGUAACAGCUCACCUAUUGAGGUUCAGGGCCCUGAAAAUGGACGGGGCUAAAGCAUAAUACCGAUACUUUGGAGGCACUCAAGAUUGAGUGUUCUGGUAAGUAGGCGUGGUUACUGCGCAGAAGAUCUUGCGAAAGAAAGGUUGGAGCGGUAACUAAUGAGAAUCCUGGUAAUAGUAGGAUGUGAUUAUUCUGAGAAUGAAUAAGGUCGAAAGGGUAAGGUUUCCUUGGCAAUAUAUGUUAGCCAAGGGUUAGUCAGGACCUAAGUUGUGUCUUAACUGAGCAUGACGAUGGAUGGCAGGUUAAUAUUCCUGCACUGAUUAAGUUUUUUGUAAUUAUCUGUUUUCGGAUAAACGGGCAUUCGAGAGAAUGUUUUUUUAGAGAAUUUUGUCGAGGGUAAUCCUAAGACACAAAAGAAUCUAUUGAACAAAACCGUUGAGUCCAAGAGCCAGUGAAAAAAAUAAUUGCUAAACGAAUUUAAUCACCUGUACCCACAACCGACACUGGUGCCCUGGCUGAGAAGGCCAAGACCUGAAGGGUAAAACUAAUUGAGGGAAUUCGGCAUAUUAGUCCUGUAGCUUCGGCUUAAGGGAUGUCUAUUUUUGUGCAUUCCAGAAAUGUGUGUGCAUUAAUAGAUCUCAGUAACAAGGACGGCCCGACUGUUUACCAAAAACGUAGCCAAGUGCGAAUCAGAAAUGAUGUGUAUACUUGGUGAGACCUGCUCAGUGGUGGUGUCUAAAACUCCUUUACAAGGGAGCUAAGGUCCAUUAAACAGCGGGGGUAACUAUGACCCUCUUAAGGUAGCGUAAUACCUUGUCGUCUGAAUGGCGACUUGCAUGAAUGGUUUAACGAGGUUGUCGCUGUCCCCAAUUAGAGCCCUCUGAAAAUAUGUUUUCUGGUGCAAAGACCAGAGACGCCUAGUGGGAAGCGGAGACCUUGUGGAACUUUACUGCAACUUGUUGUUGUGAUUUUAUGAGAAAUGCAUAGCAUAGGUAGGAGCGUCGAUCUUGUCAUUUAGGUGGCAAGGGAGCAACCUUGUAAUACUACCUGUUUUUUAUAAGAUUGCUUACUCUUUAUGAAGACAGCAGCAGGCGGGCAGUUUGACUGGGGCGGUGCCCAGCCGAAAAGAUAUCGGUUGGACCCAAAGACAAACUCAUCUAGCUUGGAAAUCUAGAGUUGAGUGCGAGGGCAAAAGUUUGUCUAACUGUAUUUUGAAUAGUAAGAAAUGCAGAAGCGAAAGCUGGGCCUAGUGAACCCACGUGCUUUUUUAAUAGGAGCCGUGUCUGAUAGACGGAGUUCACGCAUUAAAAGGGAUCGUUAGCUGGGUUAAGAACGUCGCGAGACAGUUUGUAUGAUAUCUACUAGGUGUGUUAUUGUCUGAGUGGAACAAGUUUCUAGUACGAGAGGAACGGGACUUGGAUGCCUCUGGUGAGCAGUUGUUAUAUAGCAGGCUGCAUAGCUACGCAUUAUAUGGAUAAGAGCUGAAUGCAUCUAAGCUCGAAGCCAUUCGCAAAACGAGACAAUUAAGGCCGUCAAAGAAGAUGACGUUGAUAGAAUUCUUGUGUAAGAUUGAAGGUUUUCCGACAAUUUCAGCAUAGAAUUACUAAAAGCCUCUUUUGUAGUUUUU
rfam:Archaeon GW2011_AR13 QT05_C0011, whole genome shotgun sequence.